rnacentral:rRNA from 1 species
AGUUUUGAGCUAAAUAUAUUUAUAAUAUUAGUUAUUUAUGAAGGUGUUGUAAAACCUUAUUUAAAAUUAUAUUUAGGGGUGAUAGGCCUUUCAAAAACUAAGAUAUCUUGAAUCUAAUUAAAAGUAUAUAGUACAUUUAACACAGCUAUUAAGUGAUUAGGCUUUAUAGAAUUAUUAAUUUAUAAGAUUUUAUUUACUAUAAUUUAAUAAUUAAGUACAUUAAUAUAUUAAUAUACAUAUAUUAUAGUUUAUAAAAGAGUAAUUAGAUAGAUUUAAGUUCAUAUUUCUUAUAAUAAUGUUAAUAUUAGUAUUAAGUUUAUAUUUAUAUGAUGAACUCGGCAAAAAUACUUCUCAACUGUUUAUCAAAAACAUAACUAUGUGAAUGAAUACAUAGCGGUUUCUGCUCAA